rnacentral:misc_RNA from 1 species
AAAAAAAAUUGUGAAACAGAGAAACCCAAAAGCCGCCGCCACCACCUUUUCAUACAAGACCCACCAUUAGUGGCCAUUCCCCAGCCACGCCGCCACCACCAGCUAACUCGCCGGCUUAUGGCGAGUCUAAAGAUACUCUUUCGGUCACCUGAAAUUCGCCGGAUUCCAAGAUCCGACCAGGUCAAGUGACGACCCAAAACACGACCCGUGAGUUUUCUGGCAUCAGUGCUUUCCCGGACGCUUGCCAGCCACUUAUCUAGGAGUUGCCGUUGUCGGAAGCUCUAUUUGACUUCUCAAUUGCGAGAUCCGACAGGGCCAGAUCAGUAGAUCCAUUGGGCAAGAGAGGUGAGCUCACCACAACUUUAAUGAGCCGCGUUACACUUGAUCAGCUUCUACUCCUGCCACAUUAGAUCGACACGUCAGCACCACAUCACCAUCUAUUGCCACAUCAUCAUUGCCACAUCAUCAAAGGAACCACAUCAUCACUGUCGCAUCAUCAACACAUCACCAUGUAGUGCCACAUCAUCACCACACCUCAUCAACAUGUCAGUGCCACAUCACCAUAUAGUGCCACAUCAUCGCUACCACCUCACCAGCAUGUCAGUGCCACAUCAACCAUCCAGUGCCACAUCAUCACUGCCAUGUCAACAAAAAAUUGAAAGUGUCUCGCCUUGCUAAUUUCGACGUUCUGAAUCCGAUUUAGGCAUUUGUUUUGGCAAAAAACGACUCCAAGAGACUAAAGUUUGUUUUUUCAGUGAGGUAUACUUCUCUACUUGAGAUUUGAUUAUUAUUUAUAAAUUAGGUAGUUUUGUACGGUGUUUUAGAUCCAAGAAUUUGCUUCAUGAUUCAUCUUACCCAUUCAACAUUAGCCUUA